rnacentral:rRNA from 1 species
ACGAACGCUGGCGGCUGCUUAACACAUGCAAGUCGAACGGAGUGGCGAAAGGGUGAGUAACGCGUGAGCAACCUGCCUAUGACAGUGGGAUAGCCUCGGGAAACCGGGAUUAAUACCGCAUAGUCAUAGAUGGGCUCUCGUCUGAUUAGCUAGUUGGUGAGAUAACAGCUCACCAAGGCGACGAUCAGUAGCCGGUCUGAGAGGAUGAACGGCAACAUUGGAACUGGGACACGGUCCAAACUCCUACGGGAGGGAGCAGUGGUGAAUAUUGCACAAUGGGGGAAACCCUGAUGCAGCGACGCCGCGUGAACGAAGAAGGUAUUCGGAUCGUAAAGUUCUGUCCUAUGGGAAGCGGUACCAUAGGAGAAAGCUCCGGCUAAAUACGUGCCAGCAGCCGCGGUAAUUC